rnacentral:rRNA from 1 species
GACGAACGCUGGCGGCGUGCUUAACACAUGCAAGUCGAACGGAAAGGCCCUGCUUUUGUGGGGUGCUCGAGUGGCGAACGGGUGAGUAACACGUGAGUAACCUGCCCUUGACUUUGGGAUAACUUCAGGAAACUGGGGCUAAUACCGGAUAGGAGCUCCUGCUGCAUGGUGGGGGUUGGAAAGUUUCGGCGGUUGGGGAUGGACUCGCGGCUUAUCAGCUUGUUGGUGGGGUAGUGGCUUACCAAGGCUUUGACGGGUAGCCGGCCUGCGAGGGUGACCGGCCACAUUGGGACUGAGAUACGGCCCAGACUCCUACGGGAGGCAGCAGUGGGGAAUAUUGCACAAUGGGCGGAAGCCUGAUGCAGCAACGCCGCGUGCGGGAUGACGGCCUUCGGGUUGUAAACCGCUUUCGCCUGUGACGAAGCGUGAGUGACGGUAAUGGGUAAAGAAGCACCGGCUAACUACGUG